UGCAGCUCCAUACGCAACAAACUGUGAUGCACUUCUGAUAACUCUCUAUCAGAACCAGCAUUAACUUCUGGAGCAGUUUGAGCUACAGGAGCUCGUCUGUUGGAUCGGACCACACAGGCCAGCCUUCAAUGAGCCUUGUCCGCCCAUGACCCUGACGCCGGUUCACCACUGUUCCUUCCUUGGAGCACUUUUGAUAGAUACUGACCACUGCAGACUGGGAUCACCCCACAAGAACUGCAGUUUUGGAGAUGCUCUGAUCCAGUCUAGCCAUCAUAAUUUGGUCCUUGUCAAACUCGCUCAAAUCCUUACGCUUGCCCAUUUUUCCUGCUUCUAACACAUCAACUUUGAAGACAAAAUGUUCACUUGCUGCCUUAUAUAUCCACCCACCUACAGUAUAUAUAUUGUAUAAUGCAGUCAAUUAAAUACUCCUCUUUUUAUUUGGAACUUUGAUGAACAGAAGCCAAAGGAUCAGAUUUUUCAUAUCAAAUUGAUGGUACUACUUCAGCAAAAGGAAAGCAAAAGCAGAGGCAAAAAUCUAAUUCAGCGUUCCACAGACUUUAAUAAGCCCCUUCUGAGGUUUCCUGGAAUUGUCGGCCAGACGGAUCUUUUGCACACACACACUGACAGUCUGUCCCGCUUAGCUGAGUCACAUGGGAAGAAUUGGACAGAUCCAGAUUGGAGAUAUUGGGUUAGACAUUGAGAAAGAGACGGGUCAGGUGUCUAGAUGAUCUCAGCCAUCUGAGAACUACAGAGACAAAACAUUGUUGGAUUGGGACAUUUGUUUAAAGAGACCUAUUUUGCUUCUUUCUUUAGUGUGUAAUGUUGCUGUUUGAGCAUGAAAAAGACGAGAGUUCUUCUCUA